rfam:Lactobacillus reuteri DSM 20016, complete genome.
CAAGCGGUGCAGUGAUGUAGCGUUGAGUAAGCCAGAAGUCAGCUGAGGUCAUAGUAGUCUGAGUAAUCAGAUGAAGGAC